rnacentral:rRNA from 1 species
CGAAGUGGUUGAUGCCAUGCUUCCAAGAAAAGCUUCUAAGCUUCAGGUAACCAGGAACCGUACCCCAAACCGACACAGGUGGUUGGGUAGAGAAUACCAAGGCGCUUGAGAGAACUCGGGUGAAGGAACUAGGCAAAAUGGCACCGUAACUUCGGGAGAAGGUGCGCCGGUGAGGGUGAAGGACUUGCUCCGUAAGCUCAUGCCGGUCGAAGAUACCAGGCCGCUGCGACUGUUUAUUAAAAACACAGCACUCUGCAAACACGAAAGUGGACGUAUAGGGUGUGACGCCUGCCCGGUGCCGGAAGGUUAAUUGAUGGGGUUAGCUAACGCGAAGCUCUUGAUCGAAGCCCCGGUAAACGGCGGCCGUAACUAUAACGGUCCUAAGGUAGCGAAAUUCCUUGUCGGGUAAGUUCCGACCUGCACGAAUGGCGUAACGAUGGCGGCGCUGUCUCCACCCGAGACUCAGUGAAAUUGAAAUCGCUGUGAAGAUGCAGUGUAUCCGCGGCUAGACGGAAAGACCCCGUGAACCUUUACUAUAGCUUUGCACUGGACUUUGAAUUUGCUUGUGUAGGAUAGGUGGGAGGCUUUGAAGCGUGGACGCCAGUUCGCGUGGAGCCAACCUUGAAAUACCACCCUGGCAACUUUGAGGUUCUAACUCAGGUCCGUUAUCCGGAUCGAGGACAGUGUAUGGUGGGUAGUUUGACUGGGGCGGUCUCCUCCUAAAGAGUAACGGAGGAGUACGAAGGUGCGCUCAGACCGGUCGGAAAUCGGUCGUAGAGUAUAAAGGCAAAAGCGCGCUUGACUGCGAGACAGACACGUCGAGCAGGUACGAAAGUAGGUCUUAGUGAUCCGGUGGUUCUGUAUGGAAGGGCCAUCGCUCAACGGAUAAAAGGUACUCCGGGGAUAACAGGCUGAUACCGCCCAAGAGUUCAUAUCGACGGCGGUGUUUGGCACCUCGAUGUCGGCUCAUCACAUCCUGGGGCUGAAGCCGGUCCCAAGGGUAUGGCUGUUCGCCAUUUAAAGUGGUACGCGAGCUGGGUUUAGAACGUCGUGAGACAGUUCGGUCCCUAUCUGCCGUGGACGUUUGAGAUUUGAGAGGGGCUGCUCCUAGUACGAGAGGACCGGAGUGGACGAACCUCUGGUGUUCCGGUUGUCACGCCAGUGGCAUUGCCGGGUAGCUAUGUUCGG